rnacentral:rRNA from 1 species
AGGGUUUGAUCAUGGCUCAGGACGAACGCUGGCGGCAUGCCUAACACAUGCAAGUCGAACGAGAAAGUUCCUUCGGGAGCAAUUAAAGUGGCGCACGGGUGAGUAACGCGUAGACAAUCUGCCCUUCAGUCUGGGACAACUUUUCGAAAGGAGAGCUAAUACCGGAUAACAAUGCAUGACACAAGUUGUAUAUUUGAAAGCUUUAUGUGCUGAAGGAGGGGUCUGCGUCCCAUUAGCUAGUUGGUAAGGUAAAGGCUUACCAAGGCAACGAUGGGUAGCGGGUUUGAGAGGACGAUCCGCCACACUGGAACUGAGACACGGUCCAGACUCCUACGGGAGGCAGCAGUGGGGAAUAUUGCACAAUGGAGGAAACUCUGAUGCAGCAAUGUCGCGUGAGUGAAGAAGGCCCUUGGGUCGUAAAGCUCUUUUAUGGGGGAAGAUGAUGACGGUACCCCAAGAAUAAGCACCGGCUAACUAUGUGCCAGCAGCCGCGGUAAUACAUAGGGUGCGAGCGUUGUUCGGAAUUACUGGGCGUAAAGGGCGCGCAGGCGGAAUAGUAAGUCGGAGGUGAAAGCCCGGGGCUCAACCCCGGAGGGUCUUUCGAAACUACUAAUCUAGAGAGGGUCAGGGGCCG